rnacentral:snRNA from 1 species
GUACUCACUGCAGCACAUAUGCUAAAAGUGGAACUUUACAGAGAUUAGCAUGGCUCCUGUGCAAGGAUGACACGCAAAUUCGUGAAGCGUUCCAUAUGUAA